GUCCCUAUCGCAUAGUGGUUAGUACAUCACGUUGUGGCCGUGAAGACCCCGUCUCGAAUCCGGGUAGGGACA
rnacentral:tRNA from 1 species